CAAUAGCGUAUAUUUAAGUUGUUGCAGUUAAAAAGCUCGUAGUUGGAUUUCGGGUGGGACGCAGCGGUCUCGCAUUGCGUUUGUACUGCUGCAGCCCUCCUUCUUGCCGGGGGCGGCCUCUCGGACUUCACUGUCUGGGGGUCAGAAUCGGCGAUGUUACUUUGAGUAAAUUAGAGUGUUCAAAGCAAGCUUACGCUCUGAAUAUAAUAGCAUGGGAUAACACGACAGGACUCUGGCCUAUCGUGUUGGUCUAUAGGACCAGAGUAAUGAUUAAGAGGGACAGUCGGGGGCAUUCGUAUUCCGUUGUCAGAGGUGAAAUUCUUGGAUUUACGGAAGACGAACAUCUGCGAAAGCAUUUGCCAAGGAUGGUUUCAUUGA
rnacentral:rRNA from 1 species